rnacentral:rRNA from 1 species
AUUGAACGCUGGCGGCAUGCUUUACACAUGCAAGUCGAACGGUAACAGGCCGCAAGGCGCUGACGAGUGGCGAACGGGUGAGUAAUGUAUCGGAACGUGCCCAGUCGUGGGGGAUAACGCAGCGAAAGCUGUGCUAAUACCGCAUACGAUCUAUGGAUGAAAGCGGGGGACCGUAAGGCCUCGCGCGAUGGGAGCGGCCGAUAUCAGAUUAGGUAGUUGGUGGGGUAAAGGCUCACCAAGCCGACGAUCUGUAGCUGGUCUGAGAGGACGACCAGCCACACUGGGACUGAGACACGGCCCAGACUCCUACGGGAGGCAGCAGUGGGGAAUUUUGGACAAUGGGCGCAAGCCUGGUCCAGCAAUGCCGCGUGCAGGACGAAGGCCUUCGGGUUGUAAACUGCUUUUGUACGGAGCGAAACGGCCCUCUCUAAUAAAGAGGGCUAAUGACGGUACCGUAAGAAUAAGCACCGGCUAACUACGUGCCAGCCGCCGCGGUAACAC